AGAGAAGGAAGCUUUACACUAAUAGCGUGAUAAUAGGUUUGACUUGAGGAUGGAGUGACAUAUUACAUUGUUAAUUAAGAUCGAACUUUUUAUGUUAUGAGUACUUAAAUUUUGAAUAAGAAAGUCAUUGAUCAAUAAAGGGAAAUAGGUUUUGCCGUCAGCAUUGGAUUUUACAGGGAUGUCAACGUAAUUCGAAAACUUGGUGGAAUACGGAGGACACUUACCCUGCAAGACAUCAGCACUAAUUUCAGCUACAUCGUAGCGAGUACAGAACAAGCGGGGGACCAGCUGCAAACACCUUAACUGCUCUCGUGACAGGAUGCCUGACGUCUCAAAUCGAACAAGAAAGGAGGGGGGGUCCGGUAAAUGCAAUCGCAUUCAUUCAAAACAAGUAGCUGUUAUUUGUAUACUAGCAACCGUCAUCCUAACGCUUGUGUUCCUAGUUCUGAUAAUAGCCUUAGCUGUUAAAAUAACAUCUUUAACACAACCUCAAGAAAGCUUAACUUGCAUUCCUUGCGACAAAAUGAAGACCAAUGCUAACACA